GCCAGGCAUGGUGGCACACACCUGUAAUCCCAGCAGCUUGGGAGGCUGAGAUAGGAGGAUCAUGAGUUCAAAGCCAGCCUCAGCAACUGUGAGGCUCUAAGCAACUCAGUGAGACCCUAUGUCUA
rnacentral:sRNA from 1 species